rnacentral:ribozyme from 1 species
GUUACAUUUUCCUCUGUAAUGGGAUGGGAUCCGAAGCCCCAUUGAGGGAUAAUACAGGAUCUCCCAUCCAACUCCUAUGCCGACACGUCCUCGUCGUGCAUAGUGGUAAC